rnacentral:lncRNA from 1 species
UUGUGGUAUUUCUGGAUCCUUACCAAGGCAGUGAUGGUAUAUGCCUUCUCUCAAAAUAUAUGGUAUUUUUGGUAUAAAGCAUAGUGACAUUGCCUUCUCUCUCACCUUACUCUAAUAAGGCUUUAAUAUCUGGAGCUCAUAGGUGGGAGUCAAAGUAUACAUACUUACAAGACAUUUAUUGCAUAGUCAAACCAUAGAUCCAAAGAAACAAAUCAAUAAGUCAAAUCAAGAUGUGCAUGUGUGGCGAAUGAAUGGUGUAUGGUGAUGAUGGUGAUAACAAUGGUGGAAGUCUAAUUCUACUUUUGCUCUUUUGAGGGGAUAUAUACCUUUCUUGCUUUUUGAAACAUUUUGAGGAGAAUGAGAUGCUCUUCUUUUUCUUUUCUCUCAGGUGGGUAUCUUGUACCCCUAAUUCUACUAUCGGACACUUGUCCAUUUUUACCUCUAGUCUCACUUUUUUCUUUUCUUUCGAGGUUCCGGGCACUUGCCCCUUUUUAUUUCCUCGUAUCUCUCUUUUUUUUAGAGCACUCAUGUCUUG